rnacentral:rRNA from 1 species
UACGUAGGGUGCAAGCGUUGUCCGGAAUUAUUGGGCGUAAAGAGCUCGUAGGCGGUUUGUUGCGUCGGCUGUGAAAUCCCGAGGCUCAACCUCGGGUCUGCAGUCGAUACGAGCAAACUAGAGUGUUGCAGGGGAGACUGGGAUUCCUGGUGUAGCGGUGAAAUGCGCAGAUAUCAGGAGGAACACCGGUGGCGAAGGCGGGUCUCUGGGCAACAACUGACGCUGGAGGAGCGAAAGCGUGGGGAGCAAACAGG